rnacentral:rRNA from 1 species
GAACGUAAGAUGACUGUAGGUGAAAGCUUACAUCUCUUCGGAGCAUUUUACGAGGUGCUGCAUGGUUGUCGUCAGCUCGUGCCGUGAGGUGUCGGUUAAGUCCCAUAACGAGCGCAACCCUACCUUUAGUGCCAUCAGGUAAUGCUGGGGACUCUAAAGGAACUGCCUACGCAAGUAGUGAGGAAGGCGGGGAGUGACGUCAAAUCAGCACGGCCCUUACGUCCAGGGCUACACACGUGCUACAAUGGCCGAUACAGAGGGCAGCUACCUGGUGACAGGAUGCAAAUCUACCAAAGUCGGUCUCAGUUCGGAUCGGAGUCUGCAACCCGACUCCGUGAAGUUGGAUUCGCUAGUAAUCGCGCAUCAGCCAUGGCGCGGUGAAUACGUUCCCGGGCCUU